UGGGCCAUCUUAUAAACCUAUUUGCUAUUAAUGAAAUAGUGCUUAAAAUCAAAUGUUAACACUCCUUACAGUAGAAUAUAAAAUCCUGCUAAGCAUGUUUUUAGAUUAAACUUCUAUUUAACUCAUCAUAGGCAUAUGAGAAGGUGAAUUUCUUGCCAUAUUGAAAUUUACUGCAGUUAGAAAAAGUUCCUAAUUGCUUUUUAUCAAUCUACUGGUAGAAGUAAAUGUGUUCACAAAUAGGCCAUGAUAUUAAUAAAAAAUUUCAUUAGUAUAAAAAAAUUAUGUGGUCACUAGAGAAAUUAAAAUAAGGGUAGGCCUGUGAAAAAAGGCCUACCCUAUUCCAAUUUUCAAGUACAGUUUCUAUACAAAAGUUCAAGAUUUUCAUCAUAUAGUGCUGUCUGAAAUCAAGAAAACCUUCUUGAUAAAAAUAAUAUUGUACUUGAGAAGUUGCUGUGGUUUCAUGGUAACUUUUUUUUGUCUGUUCCACUAUGCUACCACUUCCCUGUUGGAGUCAUCCCUCCACAACUAAGUUUGUCUUUUAUAUAGUGUGCUAUAUACCAUGAUGGAAUUUAUCCAUUGUUGGGAAUAUGAAUUACAGAUCUUGACCUAACAGGUAGGUUUAUUUAGAUAUCUAAAAUACAAUAUAUUAGCACUGUUAACAUAAUACUGUUCUGAAAUGUGAUUCAAUUUUCAAUUUCUUAAUUGAGAAACUGGCUUAUAUGCUUUGAUUUCUAUCGAUUUUUAAACAGGAAGAAAGCAAUUAUUGCGAAAAACCAAACCCAAACAAAUGUUCAAUCAAGAUAUAACUUCUAUCAAAAAAUCUUCAGUGAGAAAACUUCAGUUUACUGAAGAACUUGUGGAAAAAAAGAAAACUUCAAUCCUUUCAAAGUGCUAUAUUACCCAUCCUAGAAACAAUCAAUCAACAGAAAUUUGCUUCUAUCAGUGUUUUAGCUUCAGAUCUUCGAUCACUGCUGAAUCAAAAAUUUGUAACCUGACUCCAACCUAG
ensembl:lncRNA